GGUAAAAAUAUUAACAAAAUGGCAAAAUUGUGUUGUUGAAACAAAAGAAAUAAAAUUUCUGUGCAAAAUAUUCGGUUUACGAGGUUUUAAAGCGUUCUGUUAAGUGUUUGUGCAGAGUGAAAAAGGUGAAGAAAAAUAAGAAAUAAUUUUAAUCACACACAACGCGAAGAAAAUAAAAGCAGGAAAAAAAUAAGUAAAAUAAGAAACGUCAUUAAAGUGUAUUACAAAACGUAAGAAAAAAAACCAAGUGCUUAAACCAAAAAAUGAAAAGGAAAUAUUGGUUAAAUAAUUGAUUUGCAAAAAUAUGUAUAUAUUGUUAUUGGUUGUUGUGGCAAUUGCAUUUGUUGUUGUUUAUUUAGAAGAAACAAAAACGUAGCAUAAAACAAUUCACUUUUUGUGUUGGUCAAAUAUUAAAGAAAAUUAUGUGUUUGUUGGAUAGAUUGCCAAUGCGAGAGAGUGAGUGUGAGAGAGUUGCUGUUAACGAGUGUGGGUUUCUGCUAGAAGAAGAAUAUAUGACAGCAAAAAUUUGUUGUUUUCAUAUUACUUGUUUUGUUUUACAUUCAAGAAAAUAUUAAAAUUUCACCAAGUUUUAUGGUUACCUUGGUUUAACAGAAGCAUUCUCGUAUUUAAAUGUUAUUUCCUGUUGGCAUAUUUCCCUUUCCCAUUUGUCCAGCCAUCAUGUUUCGUGUUUUUCUUUCAUUCAUAAUUUUUGUUCUAUGCCUGUACUCCAGCUCGGAUUAUUAUACUCUCUCUCUCACAUACACUCAAAGCCUCUCUGUUACUCUUGACAUCUUAAUGUCGUUCGUUGUUUUUAUCUUGACAUUUCUCCUUGCCGUAUGUCAAUUGGUUUGUGUGCACGGCACUGAGAAUGAGAGCGAGUGAUGCCACCUCUUUGCCAUGAGACAAAAACCAACAACCUUCUUCUUGUUGUCAACUACAAUAAAGGGGAGUUUUAUUUUGGAGAGGUUUUUUCGGAUUUUUGGCAAAAAGAUUGUAUAAAUUUUGCAAUAAUUCCAUCAUAAAUCAUUGUUUCAUAAAUUUCGAAAUGUUUUAAGUGUUUUGUGUAGUUGUUGAUUGUGAGUGUGCAAACAACAGCAAGAAAGUGAAUGUGUUUUGUGGUGAUUACAUUUCCGUUGGCGGCUUGAAAUUGUUGGUAGUCAGCUGUUGUUGGAGAAUAAUAUAUUAGAAUCCUGAAUACUAUUUGGAGUUGAUUUUCUUUGGAUUACGUUGCGCAAAAUAUUAGAAAAGGCGCGUGGCGGACGCAAAAAAUUGGCUGUUUAGUAACACAUAAAAUGAUUUAAUGCCACAUAGUGUCAUGUGAAAGACAUGUCCUGUCUGCCAACCACAAGGAUAUAGGAAAAACAUCAAGUGAAGGAAAAUCCAAUUCAAUGACCAUCAAUGCUCCAUGACAACAACAACAACGAAACAUCGUAUAAUGGCAACAAUGUUGUGGUGGUGUCUGCCAACAUAAUAUCCAAGGAUAAGCCAGCAGAAAAAGAAACUUCAUACAACUCCUUGUCAUUCAAUUGGAAGAUCGCCUAACACUCGUCUAUCCUUUUCACAAUAACAACAACGACAACGAACAACAAAAUUCAUAUCAUCCAACCCAUUCAAGUUUU
rnacentral:sRNA from 1 species